UCCAACUUGAGGCCGAGGAACAGAAGAAACGUUUCUGUUUCUUAAGAGGCUGGAAUUAGCAAUUAUACUGUGAGUAUGCUGAGGAGAAAGCUAUCAAAUUUCUACCAAGGUAACAGAUAACCGGUACUGAAGAGACUGUUGCCAAGACAAAACUGCCAAAUUUCUACAUAGAUACCUGGACAAGAUGCAAACGUGCAAUGGGGACUGACAAGCAUAGAGAUGAGAAUGCCAAAUCAUGGUCAAACAAAUUUCACUUCACAUGCAUACCUCAUCUAUAUCCUUCCCAAAUUCAUCUUUGUAAU